AAGACCAGUCAUUUUCCACCUUUCGCCCCGUAACACAUCUAGUAACAUACUAAAUGACGUCAAAUUUUACGCUCAUCUCCUGUGUGAAAAAAAUGUUUUUCGCUAUAAUUAGAUGUGAAUAUUUUUUUGCGAAUCCCCUGUGAAUCUAUUGACUGAAUGAAAAAAAUUGUUCUCCUCGGAAAAUUUUUGCCUUUAAAGAAUUGAAAGUAUGGCAUUGCUAGUGAAGGGCAACAUAAAGUCAUCCAAAUGCACCAUCCUUGCGAAUUCAGAAGAUCAGCUUAACAUUCUGAAGAAAGGAUUCGGCGACGCAUUGAUUUCUGACACAGAUUUUCAGGGAAACACAACUUCCAAUUUGACCAUCGAUAAACCGGCGGCUUAUGUCUUGCACGUUCUCACAUCAAAAUGCCAUUUUAAGGCAUUGACUUGCGUUAUUGACAGCAGCGAUCAAUGCAUUUGGACCCUGAGCAGUUUAUCGAGUAACUUGGAGCUACAUGCGAUCAAAUGAUUGGGGAUCUACGGCAUGAUACAGACAAAAAAAAAAUUAAAAAAAUCCAUUAAAAUGUAUUGAUAUUUAGUUCAAAGCAACAUCUGUCAUCAAA